rnacentral:rRNA from 1 species
AACGAACGCUGGCGGCGUGUUUAAGACAUGCAAGUCGCACGGGAUAAGACAUGUAGUAAUACUUGUUUUAUUUAGUGGCGCACGGGUGAGUAACACGUGAAUUACAUGCCCUAUAGUGGGGAAUAGCCCAGGGAAACUUGGAUUAAUACCCCAUGGUAUCGAAAGAUUAAAGGUGGCCGCAAGGCUGUCGCUAUAGGAUUGGUUCGCGCCCUAUCAGCUUGUUGGUGAGGUAACGGCUCACCAAGGCAAUGACGGGUACCUGGUCUGAGAGGAAGGUCAGGCACACUGGAGAUGAGACACGGUCCAGACACCUACGGGUGGCAGCAUUGGAGAAUAAUUCACAAUGGGGGCAACCCUGAUGGUGCAACGCCGCGUGGAGGAUGACGGUCUUCGGAUUAUAAACUCCUGUCAUCUGGGAGAAAGACCUGCCGGUAAAUAGCCGGCAGGGUUGAUAGUACCAGAAGAGGAAGGGACGGCUACCUUCGUGCCAGCCGCCGCAGUAA